GUUUUUUCUACCUGGGAAUUCCCGGCCUUGCUCCUCCUGCACGGGCAAAAGAGGAGCAAACUGCCCAAAGGAAACGCUGGCGAGCCUGGCAGCUUGGACGCAGGUAGGGUGACAGCAAACUUCACUGACCAGCAAGUGCUGGCUCCAUGAGCUGGAGUUUGUGCUCUGCCAUCACAGUCAGACUUCACACAUGUACAAGCCCCUGCAUUUUGGGAGAAGGAAAAGAAACAGGAGAAGCAGGAGACUGUGGAAAGAGAAAUCCUGGCAUGCUCUAUGGUGCUGCGCUGGUGGCCAUGAGCGAGGGAUGUGUCCAGGACUGACAGCUCCUCAUCCAGGUACCAGCCCUUCUCCAGCACUCUGUGAGAUGCAACUUGAGAUGCAACAUUUAUUGAGGGAAGGGGAUCCCGAGGACACUGGAAAUUGCCAUCAUGCAAUGUGGAAGGAGCCUGUUUACACAUGUGCAUAGGGAGGAUGUUUGUGAUUUGGGCUGAAAUAUGCUAAUUACUGAAAACCAUCGACACGUGAAGAACUCAGUAUUUCAGCGUAUUCCCCACACCAGCAAGAGCAGUGAAUGUGAAAUACCACCUGUCAAGCACUUGCAGCAGAUAGGGUGUACUUUCUGCAGUGUCCUGUGGAGUACAAGAGUGGACUCAUUAACAUUAAUUAUUAGAAGAGGAACAUCAAUUAUUGCAAUAACCUUUGUCAAGCCAAGCAAACUGACUGCUAAACAGCAAACGAAUCCACGUUUACCAGGCAGGAUUUGCAUGGACAGAAAGAAGAAAAAGAAAAGACCCCAUAAAAUCCUCAACAUCACUCUGAAGCAGAAGAGAUCCAGUGUCGCUUGUUAAGCCUGGCAUCAGCAGCACGUUCUGCUCAAGACCUCUAGACAGAGAAUAAAAGGGGAACUUCAGACACUUGGCUGACUUGCAAGUUUUGAUGCCUCGCCAGUUGCCUUGAGGCUGCAAAUCUUAGAAGAUGAGAUUUUCCUGUGGCGUUUGACUUUUCUGCCUGAAGCCCAGAGAGCUCAGAAGCAGACAGAACACAGGUGACAGUAACACAUUACAAAUCAUAAUUCACUGCACGUUCUAUGUAGAGUGCAAAAGGAAGGGAAUUUUCCUAUUCCUGUUUCCUCUGUAUCCAUGUGACCAUCACUGUCCUUUGUCCCUACAUGUACUGCUCUUAAGCCUGGAAGACCAGUAAAUGCAAACCAUUCUUCA